GACGAACGCUGGCGGCGUGCUUAACACAUGCGAGUCGAACGGAAAGGCCCUGCUUUUGUGGGGUGCUCGAGUGGCGAACGGGUGAGUAACACGUGAGUAACCUGCCCUUGACUUUGGGAUAACUUCAGGAAACUGGGGCUAAUACCGGAUAGGAGCUCCUGCUGCAUGGUGGGGGUUGGAAAGUUUCGGCGGUUGGGGUUGGACUCGCGGCUUAUCAGCUUGUUGGUGGGGUAGUGGCUUACCAAGGCUUUGACGGGUAGCCGGCCUGAGAGGGUGACCGGCCACAUUGGGACUGAGAUACGGCCCAGACUCCUACGGGAGGCAGCAGUGGGGAAUAUUGCACAAUGGGCGGAAGCCUGAUGCAGCAACGCCGCGUGCGGGAUGACGGCCUUCGGGUUGUAAACCGCUUUCGCCUGUGACGAAGCGUGAGUGACGGUAAUGGGUAAAGAAGCACCGGCUAACUACGUG
rnacentral:rRNA from 1 species